CCUACGGGAGGCAGCAGUGGGGGAUAUUGCACAAUGGGGGGAACCCUGAUGCAGCGACGCCGCGUGGGUGAAGGAGUGCUUCAGCAUGUAAAGCCCUAUCGGCAGGGAAGAAGCAAGACGGUACCUGACUAAGAAGCCCCGGCUAACUACGUGCCAGCAGCCGCGGUAAUACGUAGGGGGCGAGCGUUAUCCGGAUUCACUGGGUGUAAAGGGAGCGUAGACGGCCAAGCAAGCCAGGGGUGAAAGCCCGGGGCCCAACCCCGGGACUGCCGUUGGAACUGCAUGGCUUGAGUGCGGGAGGGGCAGGCGGAAUGCCUGGUGUAGCGGUGAAAUGCGUAGAUAUCAGGAGGAACACCGGCGGCGAAGGCGGCCUGCUGGACCGCGACUGACGUUGAGGCUCGAAAGCGUGGGGAGCGAACAGGAUUAGAUACCCCGGUAGUC
rnacentral:rRNA from 1 species